GAGGUCAGUCACUCAUCUGCAGCCCGUGCGGAUCAGACUCGCCGGGCUCGCAGCAGCUUUCACACUUCUGUCAUGUCAGUAGGAAUGUAAGGGGAAUACACGCGCAGAGGGGGAAUAUUUGACUGUGCGCGAGGGAGGCGUGGAGCCCGACACAGGGCUGUAGCAUGGGGUGAUGAGGACUCUCCUUUGCUAAUCUCAAUGCAGAUGACUAGUGAUGGCCACAGCAUCACCUCAACAUUUGUUGGAUGACAUAAAAAACUCUGAAGAACAACAGCCGGACCAACAGGAGCAGCAGGAAUUCUUGAGCUCCCUGGAGACCAUCGCUCUCACCAUCUUUCUCUCGCUCAUCAUUAUCAUGACAGUUUUCGGCAACCUGUUGGUCAUGGUGGCGCUCUGCAAGGACCGACACUUGCGAAAGAAAAAGACAAACUAUUUUAUUGUCUCGCUGGCGUUUGCUGACUUGCUGGUUGCUCUGGUCGUGAUGCCCUUUGCUGCCAUCGAACUGACUACUGGCCAGUGGCGCUAUGGAGAGAUUUUCUGCCUGGUGCGAACAUCUCUGGACGUCCUGUUGACCACAGCAUCCAUCCUGCACCUCUGCUGCAUUGCACUGGAUAGGUAUUAUGCCAUCUGCUGCCAGCCAUUGGUGUAUAGACACAAGAUGACCCCGAUGAGAGUGGCUGUCAUGCUCAGUGGCUGUUGGCUCAUUCCCACAUUUAUCUCCUUUCUACCCAUCAUGCAAAGCUGGAACGCCAUCGGGAUCGAGGAUAUUAUUGAAGAGCGGCGAGCCUUGGCGGGAGGCUCGAACGACACAAGUUGUGUGUUUCUGGUUAACCGGCCGUACGCCCUGAUCUGCUCUGCAGUGGCCUUCUACGUGCCGCUGGGCCUCAUGGUCCUAGCCUACCAGCGUAUCUAUGUUACUGCCAUGACCCACGUGCGGCAGAUAGAGACACUUCAACGUGCCGGAUCUGCUCCGGUCACCGGCACAAUUCCAGUCAUCACCGUGAGGACAUCCACUUCCUCAGAUCCUUUGGAGCAUUACCGCCUUAGGACACCAACGGGUUCGUCCUCCUCAGAGCAGGCUCCUAUAGGUCACAGCCGCAUGCGCAUUGAGACCAAGGCAGCAAAGACGCUGGCGGUUAUAAUGGGUUGUUUCUGCCUGUGCUGGGCUCCAUUCUUUAUCACCAACAUAGUGGACCCGUUCAUCCACUACUCGGUACCCUGGCAGCUGUGGACAGCCUGGUUGUGGCUUGGGUACAUUAACUCAGGGCUGAACCCUUUCCUGUACGCCUUCCUAAACCGGGCUUUUCGGAGGGCGUUUCUGGUCAUUCUCUGCUGUGGGGAUGAGCGGUACGCACGGCAGGGGAGCUGCUCCUAUGGACCAACCCACAGAGUGUGCUCAGCUGCAUCAGUCAAUGGAACAUCCAUGGCACUGAGGAAUUAAGAGAGUAAUCAUCAUCAGCAAGUGUGGCCAUCUCUAUAAAAGCAGAAGUUUUGGCAGUUUGCUGCUCUGGAGUUUUCAGAUUGUCCUUCCUGCCAAACCGGAGCUACAGCGACAAUGGACGGACAAUUCUGGCCAAUGAGCAGGAAUCCCAGGACUCUCUUGGACCUCUAUGAGGAUGACUAUUUUAAAAACAGAACUGUGAUGAACCUUGAGGUGGACUUCCUCAAAUAAUAGCGAUCGUGUCCCUUCUGGAUAUUCGAGCUAUGAUAAUCCAUCACCAUUGUCUGAUUUACUUUACUACUUUACUUACUGAUCCUGUCCAUGGAUCUCUAAAGAUGUUCAUUACUCAAGUGUGGAGCAUCAGAACUGACUUGUUUGUUAUAAAAUAGUUGGAUCAAUGAACUGUGCAAAUGUUUCCAGGCAUGCUCUUAUUCUAAAACCCAAAGAACUAGUCUGGAUCCUGGGAUCAGCAAACUGCAAGCCCAUCCAUGUUAACAUAAUGUGAGACUCAUUAACUUAAAACAACAAGCUGUAGCAGAGCUACCUGCCUGCUGCUCAUACAAAUGUUUGUUCAUAUAAGAAUAUGGCUUCUUUUACAGCACUGCUUUCUUUUCCUGUCUUUUACCAGCAUAAACUAAACAACUAAGGUGGCACUGGAGUCUGACAUACAGUUUUUAAAAAAGGACUUCGUAAUAUCUGUUUUUCAUUUCUAAUCCUGCUGUGAACAAAAACACCAAAGACUGAAGACAUGGACAUUUUGAUUUGAUUUCUCCCAGGAAAGGCAUCAGCGGCAUCAUGCAGGUUCUGUUCAAACAGUGCUGAAGCACCUGCAUAAAGUUUUCAUGAAACAUAAAACAUGGCUGGACUUUUGUCUGCAGGCCAGCGGCAAAGUUAAAGUGCAGCUUUACGCCAAUGUGAAAAAAUGUAUGUCAAAACAUUUAUCGUGGUUUUCAUCGUUCUGCAGAGAAUGACAGUGAUCUGUGUUGGAGAAUAUGCUUUACUUUUUGUAAAUUUAUAAGAUAAACUUCUGUAACAAAGCACUGAAAGUUCAGGCACAUUGCCAUAAGUGUGUCUGAAAAAGUGAAGGUUUCAGGAAUGUGAAGAAAAAACCGCUCUGGUGUUUGUGCUUGUGAAUGAGCCCAGUUUCCUGUAUUCUUUAAUGUAAAUAAGGCUGCUGUGAAACAUGAAGAGAAAUCACUGGAACAUACAGCCACCGGCCACUUUGUUAGGUACAUCUGUGAAACCACCUGUACGUGCAAACAUUCAGUUAGUUAAUCACAUGGCAGCAACUCUGUGCAUUUUGGCUUUCACACAUAGUCAAGACAACCUGCUGAGCUCUGGAGGAAAAAGAGGGUCCAACCUUGUACUAACAAGGUAUAACUAAUCAAGUGGCCAGUGACUGUAGUUGGAUGAAUAAGACACUUUGAAACAAGAAGCAGUGUCACAUAUCAAAAAAUAGAUACAAUAGCAAUAUAUUUGAACACCAGAAGCAAUUUCCAGUAGCCAAAGCGUAGUAUAUGCAGGUCAAUGUUCAAUAUACAAACUGAACUGGCUGUACAUGGAUCAGGAGCAGGAAAUACCUGUGACCUUCUGUCACAUAUUCAGUUUAUCUCAGAGUUGGGCCUUAAAUCCUGCAAACCUUUCUCAAUUAUGUAUUUCAUUAUGUGUGACUUAAAAAUAUUACAAAAUUAUACUGAAACAGGAGAAAAUCUUUUCAGCCAAGGUGCAACAAUUAUAAUUUAGAGAAGUAGGAGACUUUAUGUCAGUGGAGCACAAAUAAGUACAUGUAUAUAACAAUAUAGCGACUCACUGGGUGCUUUAUGAGCUAUAGGUAUUGGACUGCUAGUACUGGGUUGGACCCCCUUUGCCUUCAAAAUUGCCUUAAUUCUGUGUCAUAGAUUCAACAAGGUGGUGGAAACAUUCCUCAGAGAAAUUUGGCCCGUAUUGACAUGAUGAAGUUGCUGGAGAUUUGUUGGCUGCAAAUCUGUUAUCGCCUCAAGGCGCUUUAUGUUGUAAGGUAAAGACCUACAAUAAUACAGAGAAAACUCCAACAACCAGGCGACCCCCUGUGAGGAAACUCUUGGCAUCAGUGGGAAGGAAAAAAACACAGAGAAACACAUACACAGAGCAUAUCAGACUUGAAUAUACUCACUGCAACAAAGUCUGACAAUUGCUCAUAUAAUCAAUUGCCCUCCCUGUUAGAUGUCAUGUUUUACAACAUGAAAAGAAUAUCAGCAGCCUCAUGCUUCCAUUUACAGAAGUACUGCAUCUGCUGUAGAUUGUAAUAAAUUCAGGAUCGGGUUUAUUUUGCACAAAGGCAGUUUUCAGCUGAGGUGGGUAUGAAGGUGUGGAAUUUCACAAACGAAGAAUAACAGACUUGGAGUCUUUGAGUUGCUUGAUCAGUGGACUGAUCAAGUGGACUGUUUUAAAGGCAAAUUAGAUGACAUUUGACCACUAGAGGGCAGAAACACUGUAAAACAAACUCAAAGAGCCCUUCAGUGGGAUUUACACCUCCAUGUUAAAUCUACACUGUAACUUACUUCCCUAGGUAUGUGCUAAUGCAGCCUGUAACGACUCUAAUUUGCCUAUUCUAGCACCAUCUAGUGUUUCAUAAGUGAAACUGCAGAACAGUUGCACAGCUUGCAGCACAGGCUCAGUUCAGUACAUAAGCCUAAAUCAGACUUUAAAGGGAAUACCUGUAAUUACUCUGCUUUGAGUACUAAUUUUGUCUCAUUGAACAUAUGAAAACAAGUUGACA